UACAGAGGUCCCAAGCGUUGUUCGGAUUCACUGGGCGUAAAGGGUGCGUAGGUGGUCGGAUAAGUCUGAUGUGAAAUCUCCAAGCUUAACUUGGAAAUGGCAUUGGAUACUAUUCGGCUAGAGGGUUUGAGGGGGGACUGGAAUACUUGGUGUAGCAGUGAAAUGCGUAGAUAUCGAGAGGAACACCAGUGGCGAAGGCGAGUCCCUGGACAACUCCUGACACUGAGGCACGAAAGCUAGGGGAGCAAACAGG
rnacentral:rRNA from 1 species